rnacentral:rRNA from 1 species
GAUGAACGCUAGCGGCAGGCCUAACACAUGCAAGUCGAGGGAGGAGCUUUCGGGCUUCGACCGGCGUACGGGUGCGUAACGCGUAUACAAUCUGCCUUUCACAUAGGGAUAGCCCGAAGAAAUUUGGAUUAAUACCUAAUGGUAUAUAGAGGUGGCAUCACCUUUAUAUUAAAGCUGAGGCGGUGAAAGAUGAGUAUGCGUUCUAUUAGCUAGUUGGAGAGGUAACGGCUCCCCAAGGCGACGAUAGAUAGGGGUUCUGAGAGGGAUAUCCCCCACACUGGUACUGAGAUACGGACCAGACUCCUACGGGAGGCAGCAGUGAGGAAUAUUGGACAAUGGUCGGAAGACUGAUCCAGCCAUGCCGCGUGCAGGAAGACGGCCUUAUGGGUUGUAAACUGCUUUUGCAGGGGAAGAAUAAGGACUACGCGUAGUCUGAUGACGGUACUCUGCGAAUAAGCAUCGGCUAACUCCGUG